UACGUAGGGUGCUAGCGUUGUUCGGAAUCAUUGGGCGUAAAGCGCGUGUAGGCGGUUAGUUAAGUCAGAUGUGAAAUCCCUGGGCUCAACCGAGGAAGUGCAUUUGAAACUAAUUAGCUAGAAGACGGUAGAGGAAGGUGGAAUUCCAAGUGUAGAGGUGAAAUUCGUAGAUAUUUGGAGGAAUACCGGUGGCGAAGGCGGCCUUCUGGACCGUUCUUGACGCUGAGACGCGAAAGCGUGGGGAGCAAACAGG
rnacentral:rRNA from 1 species